ACUAGAGUGGAGGACGGAUUGGGCGAAGCCACCACGUACCAUCUUCACCCUGGUCGGUGCUCAUAGCCAGCACGGUGCUGGUCAGGUACACUCCGAAGUUUUGGCACGAGAGUUAUUCUUUUUGUGCCGGUAAUCUUUAGCAGCGUGGAUAUGUGGGACAGGGGGCGAGGAAGUUAGCGAUGCCCACGGCCUGGAAGCGAACGUUGGCGGACCGUUGGUGAUCCUCCUUACCCAUGGUGGGGUCGAAUGCGUACACCUGUCAACCCCCA